UACGUAGGGUGCGAGCGUUAAUCGGAAUUACUGGGCGUAAAGUGUGCGCAGGCGGCCGCGCAAGUCGAGUGUGAAAGCCCCGGGCUUAACUUGGGAAUUGCGCUCGAAACUACGUGGCUGGAGUGUGGCAGAGGAAGGUGGAAUUCCAGGUGUAGCGGUGAAAUGCGUAGAGAUCUGGAGGAACACCGAUGGCGAAGGCGGCCUGCUGGGCAGUGGCUGACACUGAGGCGCGACAGCGUGGGGAGCAAACAGG
rnacentral:rRNA from 1 species